rnacentral:rRNA from 1 species
UCCCGUUUCUGUUCUGUUGGUUUUUGGAAAACGAGAUAAUGAUCGAGAGGGACAGACGGGGGCAUUCGUAUUGCGGCGCUAGAGGUGAAAUUCUUGGACCGUCGCAAGACGAACUACUGCGAAAGCAUUUGCCAAGAAUGUUUUCAUUGAUCAAGAACGAAAGUCAGAGGUUCGAAGGCGAUCAGAUACCGCCCUAGUUCUGACCAUAAACGAUGCCAACCAGCAAUCCGCCUGAGUUACUCAAAUGACUCGGCGGGCAGCUUCCGGGAAACCAAAGUAUUUGGGUUCCGGGGGAAGUAUGGUUGCAAAGCUGAAACUUAAAGGAAUUGACGGAAGGGCACCACCAGGAGUGGAGCCUGCGGCUUAAUUUGACUCAACACGGGAAAACUUACCCGGCCCGGACACNGGAAGGAUUGACAGAUUGAGAGCUCUUUCUUGAUUCGGUGGAUGGUGGUGCAUGGCCGUUCUUAGUUGGUGGAGCGAUUUGUCUGGUUAAUUCCGAUAACGAACGAGACUCCAGCCUA